AGCCAUGCGUUGAGCACAGAUCGAACUAUUCUUUCGCCUUUUACUAAAGAAUACCGUGUGCGUGGCGCUUUAAGUGGCAUACGCCUAUUUUUGAAAGGUUGCACCUCUGUGGGUGCC
rnacentral:snRNA from 1 species